UGGUCUGUAACCUAAAUAUCAAAUGGCUGUAGAAUAAGUUUACACCAACUACUCCUUCCUCAUCUUCGUAAGACUACCCGCUGAACUUAAGCAUAUCAAUAAGCGGAGGAAAAGAAACCAACAGGGAUUGCCUCAGUAACGGCGAGUGAAGCGGCAAAAGCUCAAAUUUGAAAUCCUCCGGGAAUUGUAAUUUGAAGGUGGGGUUGAAUAGGUCUAGAUACUUUAAGUCCAUUGGAAAAUGGCGCCAUGGAGGGUGAUAGCCCCGUAAAAGUAUUCAAACCUUCUUUUCUUCCCCUCCUAAGAGUCGAGUUGUUUGGGAAUGCAGCUCUAAGUGGGUGGUAAAUUCCAUCUAAAGCUAAAUAUUGGCGAGAGACCGAUAGCGAACAAGUACAGUGAUGGAAAGAUGAAAAGCACUUUGAAAAGAGAGUGAAAAAGUACGUGAAAUUGUUGAAAGGGAAGGGCUUGCAAGCAGACACAACCUCGGUUGGGCCAGCAUCGGAGUGGGGGGAGACAAAAAAGGUUAGGAAUGUAGCUCCCUUUAGAGUAUUAUAUCCUAGCCCUAUAUCUCCAUCCCCUUCCGAG
rnacentral:rRNA from 1 species